rnacentral:rRNA from 1 species
CGGGGGAGUAACCUUCCGAAAGGAGGGCUAAUACCGCAUAAGACCACACUCUCGAAAGAGAGAGAGGUUAAAGCAGGCCUCUAUUCAUAAGCUUGCUCCAGAGGAUGAGUCCGCGGCCCAUCAGCUAGUUGGUAGGGUAAUGGCCUACCAAGGCUAAGACGGGUAGCUGGUCUGAGAGGAUGAUCAGCCACACUGGAACUGAGACACGGUCCAG